GACGUAGGGCGCGAGCGUUGUCCGGAUUUAUUGGGCGUAAAGAGCUCGUAGGCGGCUUGUUGCGUCGGCUGUGAAAACCCAUGGCUCAACCGUGGGCUUGCAGCCGAUACGGGCAGGCUAGAGUUCGGUAGGGGAGGACUGGAAUUCCUGGUGUAGCGGUGAAAUGCGCAGAUAUCAGGAGGAACACCGGUGGUGUAGACGGCUUCUGGACCGUAACUGACGCUGAGACACGAAAGCGUGGGUAGCAAACAGG
rnacentral:rRNA from 1 species